rnacentral:rRNA from 1 species
GAUGAACGCUAGCUACAGGCUUAACACAUGCAAGUCGAGGGGAAACGGCAUUUAGUGCUUGCACUGAAUGGACGUCGACCGGCGCACGGGUGAGUAACGCGUAUCCAACCUACCCAUUACUGUGGGAUAACCUGCCGAAAGGCAGACUAAUACCGCAUAGUCUUCGAUGACGGCAUCAGAUUUGAAGUAAAGAUUUAUCGGUAAUGGAUGGGGAUGCGUCUGAUUAGCUUGUUGGCGGGGUAACGGCCCACCAAGGCAACGAUCAGUAGGGGUUCUGAGAGGAAGGUCCCCCACAUUGGAACUGAGACACGGUCCAAACUCCUACGGGAGGCAGCAGUGAGGAAUAGUGGUCAAUGGGCGGGAGCCUGAACCAGCCAAGUAGCGUGCAGGAUGACGGCCCUAUGGGUUGUAAACUGCUUUUGUAUGGGGAUAAAGUCAAUCACGUGUGAUUGUUUGCAGGUACCAUACGAAUAAGGACCGGCUAAUUCCGUGCCAGCAGCCGCGGUAAUACGGAAGGUCCGGGCGUUAUCCGGAUUUAUUGGGUUUAAAGGGAGCGUAGGCCGGAGAUUAAGUGUGUUGUGAAAUGUAGACGCUCAACGUCUGACUUGCAGCGCAUACUGGUUUCCUUGAGUACGCACAACGUUGGCGGAAUUCGUCGUGUAGCGGUGAAAUGCUUAGAUAUGACGAAGAACUCCGAUUGCGAAGGCAGCUGACGGGAGCGCAACUGACGCUUAAGCUCGAAGGUGCGGGUAUCGAACAGG